rnacentral:rRNA from 1 species
GGGCCUGGCGGCAGUCUACUAUGCAGUCGAGCGGUAGCACAGAGAGCUUGCUCUCGGGUGACGAGCGGCGGACGGGUGAGUAAUGUCUGGGAAACUGCCUGAUGGAGGGGGAUAACUACUGGAAACGGUAGCUAAUACCGCAUAAUGUCGCAAGACCAAAGUGGGGGACCUUCGGGCCUCAUGCCAUCAGAUGUGCCCAGAUGGGAUUAGCUAGUAGGUGGGGUAACGGCUCACCUAGGCGACGAUCCCUAGCUGGUCUGAGAGGAUGACCAGCCACACUGGAACUGAGACACGGUCCAGACUCCUACGGGAGGCAGCAGUGGGGAAUAUUGCACAAUGGGCGCAAGCCUGAUGCAGCCAUGCCGCGUGUGUGAAGAAGGCCUUCGGGUUGUAAAGCACUUUCAGCGGGGAGGAAGGCGUUAAGGUUAAUAACCUUGGCGAUUGACGUUACCCGCAGAAGAAGCACCGGCUAACUCCGUGCCAGCAGCCGCGGUAAUACGGAGGGUGCAAGCGUUAAUCGGAAUUACUGGGCGUAAAGCGCACGCAGGCGGUCUGUCAAGUCGGAUGUGAAAUCCCCGGGCUCAACCUGGGAACUGCAUUCGAAACUGGCAGGCUAGAGUCUUGUAGAGGGGGGUAGAAUUCCAGGUGUAGCGGUGAAAUGCGUAGAGAUCUGGAGGAAUACCGGUGGCGAAGGCGGCCCCCUGGACAAAGACUGACGCUCAGGUGCGAAAGCGUGGGGAGCAAACAGGAUUAGAUACCCUGGUAGUCCACGCCGUAAACGAUGUCGAUUUGGAGGUUGUGCCCUUGAGGCGUGGCUUCCGGAGCUAACGCGUUAAAUCGACCGCCUGGGGAGUACGGCCGCAAGGUUAAAACUCAAAUGAAUUGACGGGGGCCCGCACAAGCGGUGGAGCAUGUGGUUUAAUUCGAUGCAACGCGAAGAACCUUACCUGGUCUUGACAUCCACAGAACUUUCCAGAGAUGGAUUGGUGCCUUCGGGAACUGUGAGACAGGUGCUGCAUGGCUGUCGUCAGCUCGUGUUGUGAAAUGUUGGGUUAAGUCCCGCAACGAGCGCAACCCUUAUCCUUUGUUGCCAGCGGUUCGGCCGGGAACUCAAAGGAGACUGCCAGUGAUAAACUGGAGGAAGGUGGGGAUGACGUCAAGUCAUCAUGGCCCUUACGACCAGGGCUACACACGUGCUACAAUGGCAUAUACAAAGAGAAGCGACCUCGCGAGAGCAAGCGGACCUCAUAAAGUAUGUCGUAGUCCGGAUUGGAGUCUGCAACUCGACUCCAUGAAGUCGGAAUCGCUAGUAAUCGUAGAUCAGAAUGCUACGGUGAAUACGUUCCCGGGCCUUGUACACACCGCCCGUCACACCAUGGGAGUGGGUUGCAAAAGAAGUAGGUAGCUUAACCUUCGGGAGGGCGCUACCCACUUUGGAUUCCCAC